UACGUAGGGGGCAAGCGUUGUCCGGAUUUAUUGGGCGUAAAGAGCGUGUAGGCGGUUUGGUAGGUCCGCUGUGAAAACUCGAGGCUCAACCUCGAGACGCCGGUGGAAACCAUCAGGCUAGAGUCCGGAAGAGGAGUGUGGAAUUCCUGGUGUAGCGGUGAAAUGCGCAGAUAUCAGGAAGAACACCUAUGGCGAAGGCAGCACUCUGGGACGGUACUGACGCUGAGACGCGAAAGCGUGGGGAGCGAACAGG
rnacentral:rRNA from 1 species